GCGAACGCUGGCGGCAGGCUUAACACAUGCAAGUCGAGCGGGCACUUCGGUGUCAGCGGCAGACGGGUGAGUAACACGUGGGAACGUACCCUUCGGUUCGGAAUAACGCUGGGAAACUAGCGCUAAUACCGGAUACGCCCUUUUGGGGAAAGGUUUACUGCCGAAGGAUCGGCCCGCGUCUGAUUAGCUAGUUGGUGGGGUAAUGGCCUACCAAGGCGACGAUCAGUAGCUGGUCUGAGAGGAUGAUCAGCCACACUGGGACUGAGACACGGCCCAGACUCCUACGGGAGGCAGCAGUGGGGAAUAUUGGACAAUGGGCGCAAGCCUGAUCCAGCCAUGCCGCGUGAGUGAUGAAGGCC
rnacentral:rRNA from 1 species